CCUGGCUUGAAUCUGUGGUCCUCAUGGUUCUGUUUGCUCCCCAGUGACACAGCACAUAAGAGAGCUCCUGGAAAGGAACACUAAGAAGAAGUCCAAAUUGAGAAAGAAACCCAAGCCUUAUGUUGAAGAGCCGGAUGGUAGGGCUCCUGCAGGCCCGGGCACUGCCUCUGCACAGCUCUGCUCUCCAGCCUCGGCCGCCUGGCCUUCUCUUCUCUAACCGCUUCUGGGCUCGGGGAGGGACACUAACCUCAGGCUUGGACCUCCUCAGCGUUCUGGAGGCCCAGGGUGGCUGACAAGCUCCUGGAGAGGCCAGGCCAGCCCUGCACCUCCCUUGGUGGUGCCCAGAACAAUUCCAAAUUUGUUUGCUGGGUUGUUGGUGGGCAGGGGGCAUGAGGAAUAGCCAGCAAGGCCUGGAGGCUCCCCCAGGUGAGUGAGUGGGCCUGAGCCAGGUAAGGCUCACAGGAAGGAGAACAGGGGCACUCUGUGGCAAUGCUUUCCCAGCCCUGUCCUCCAGCCCAGGAUCCCCUGGGGCCAGAGAGUAGAGCCUGGUGUCCACAAGUCACCAGGGAAUCUCCCCUCUUCCGUGAUGAGCCCUAGCACAGUCCCCCAAGCUCUGGAGUCUCCCUGCCCUCUCCCUGGGCCCUGGCUCAGGACCCAGGCUGCCCAGUCUGUCCAGAAAUAAGAAUAGUUCCUGCUAACAUGGCAGGUCAGCCACUUCAGGGCCUCCAAGACCCACCACCCCCACCACAAGUUGUGCAGAACUGCCUUCACCAAGUGUGGCUCACACUUGUCUGUCUGGAACCCUGCCUCCUGCACUUUGCUUCUCUCCCCUUCUGAGAAGCCCUCUCUGACUGCACACUGCUUCAGGGACACAUGUGGUUGGGAGCUUUCUGCAGGUGAGGCCUAUGUCGAGUGAACCCUAGGGCAAGCAGGAAGCUUCAGGGGCUUGAAGGGGCCCUUGUGGGCAAGGCCAGGAUGGCAUCUGCAGAGCAGGGGACUUGUCCUCACCCUGAGGCCCCCAGCAGGUUUGUUCCAGGACAGCUACAGUUCAGGGUUAGAUUCCAGGCCAUGGGCAUCCAGCUACUCAUCUGGGACAGCAGUGGAAGGAUCUCUGAGCUCCUGCCUGAGCCAGCCACUGGUGGCCUGGGAACUGGACAGAUGCCAGUUGACCAAGAGAAUCUUGUUGCUGCAGGUGGCAGGGCAGGGAGCAGGUGCCACGGGACCAGGGUGCAGAUCUGAUGAGGACACUGCAACCUGAGCUGUGUCAGGUACAGAGAAGGGAGCCAGCCCACCCUGGCCACAGCUGUGGCCUUUGAGAGCUUAUAAUCUGGACCCCUGGUAUAGCAGCACGGACACUGCUUCUGUCUACUCUCUGUGGGCAGCUGUGUCUCCACCUACCAAAUUGGGCUGACCUGCCUCCAGAUAGAUGGAGGUGCUGGCUGAGGUCCAAGUAGGGCUAGUGGAUCAAGCAAGGCCAGAUCAGGGGCCUAGAAGCAGAGCAUCUUACACAAGUGAGGAUCUUCCUAGGCUGGCCGUGGGCACUGCCCACUACAUCCUGGGUGCUUCAGAGAGAGUGGAAGUCCCUCCAGGACCUGGUCCAUGAACCACAGCUGUGGUGCCUGCAGCUCUCUUCUAAGCACUGGUACCACAACCUCAGCUUAGCCCUUCACAGGCACCUGUGAGUUUGUGCUGCCCCCGUCCUCCCUCCAAGAACAGGGCAGGAGCAGCAGUGCACGCCUGUAAUCCCAGCAACUUGGGAGCCUGAGGCAGGAGGAUCCCAAGUUCAAAGCCAGCCUCAGCAACUUAGGAAGGCCUUGAGCAAAUUAGUGAGACCCUAUGUCAAAAAAUUAAGGCUGGGGGUGAGGGGUUGGGGAUGUGGCUCUGUGGUUAAGUGCCCCCUGGGUUUAAUCCCUAACACCAAGAAACUGAGGCUCAGAGAUCAUCAGCUGAGAGGCAGUGGCCCCAGGACACCAUCCUGGUUCAAGCAAUCACAGGCUCUAAGGUCUGGGUGUUUGCUUUAGGGACAGGAAGCAGCCCUGCCACUACCCUCAGACCUCUCCUGCUCAGUGAGCAGGUAUCCUCACUGCUGGGCUGAAGCAGGGCCUGGAAGCUUCUCCACCUGCUGCUUUCUGCAAAGCUUCCAGGCUCUGAACAUUGCGGGGCUAAGGCCUGAGUCCCAUCUGCUUAAGCACUGUCUGUUCAUUCCCUCAAAAUGAGGGGCCCUCGGAAUGGCCUGUGGUAGAAGGAUCCCGGCACUGGAUCAAUACCUGCUGGGGCCUGGAGAAGGUUGUCCAGGUUGUCUGUGAGAAACCUUUGUCUUCUUGAUUUAAAAAGAAUUUUCUUUCACAGACACAAGGAGAGAGCCAUUUUAGGAUAACUAGAAACAAAAUGGUGUUCUCAUGAAUCAAGACAUUUGUGCUAAAAUGUUUUCUGAACUGAGUCUAAGGACCCCUGUGUCCGCAGACAUCCACAGAAACUACUUCCUUUAAAAGAAGGCAAAGUCUGUGAAGGCCUGGGUCUAGAGGCCUCCCUUACACCCUGGGAGGCAACAGGUGUGGGGAGGGGCAGGGUCCCAUGCCCAGAAGCACAUGCUUCAGGCUGCCUGCCUGUCCCCGGCUUCAGGCAUCUUCUCUCCCUGCCUCCCCACCCCUUUCCUGCUUAGGCCAGGAGGGGUAGCACACAUCCUAGGUCCCAAGGGGAAGCCUUACUGUCUCCUUUCCUUUCUCUCACUUGCACUGUCUUGGUCUUUCUGCCUGCCAUCUCCUGACCCUACAGGACUCGCAGCUAGAACCUCUGCUUCAGGGAGGCUGAGUUACAGAAGGCCCUUUCCUGGAGGCCUGGUUCCCAUUCUCAAAGGGUCCAAAGGUGGUCCUGCCACCGCCCUGCCCUCUCAUGGGGUAGAGCAUGCUGACACCUGCUCCACAUUCCCCCUCACACUGUGGCCUAGGACCAGGGCCUUGCUUCCCUUUACCCUCACUCCUACCCCAUCUCCAGGCAGCCUCAGACCCAUGAGGGCCCCUGGCUAAAGACCAGGGCUGCAGGAGAGCUCUACCUGCCCUCCGCACGCACGGCGUGGUGUCUUAUCCAGGCACUCCUUCCCGGGGCCAGGGAGGGUAGGGGAGGUCUGGAGGCCUUGGGGCUCAGAUUUUGCUCUAUCCUGCCUGUGUUUUCAUACAGGGAAGCAGCUUGAUCCCCAGCCUGGCCUUCCUGUCCUGGGUGGGCUGGCAGAGGGGAUCCCCCAGCCUGGCACAGGGACGUGGGGAAAGCCUCUCCACUUGGGGCUCCACUCUAAAGGACAUUACCUAAGAGUGGGGGCUGCUGUACUAGUCAAGGGUGGGCGGGAGCAUAGCCAAGCCAUCUAUCCCCCAGGGCCCCCACAGGUCGCUGCUCUCUCUUAGUCCCUGCACAUCCACCCCAGGCUGACCAGCACCCAUUCUUUUCCAGGGGUGGCGAUAAGCACCUACGCCAAGUAUUGCUACCACAAGCUCCAGAAGGCGGCCCUGACAGGGGCCAAGAAGGUACAAGCACGCUGGGAGGAGUAUCCCAGCCAAAGUGUGGUGGGGAGGUGUGAGGCUCAGGGGAGCACUGAGUGGCAGAGAGGGUGCUGCCAGGGUGCACCUAGGCAGCUUGCUGAAAAGGCUUCAGGGCCCUCCUCCUGUACCAUGCCCCCUUUCCCCUCAGGGGGCUCCUCUCCAUGCCUGGACCCCCAAUUCAGAAGUGGUGCAGGCAAACUGGUGUGUCCUGCACAGGGCCGCAUUAAGGGGCCUUUUCGCAUGAGUGGGCCAGCUGCCUGGCUGUGCCCAGCCUGCCCUCGUGCAUGGGAGGGACCGCAAGGGAACAGCAUCCUGGGUGCACCAACCCAAGAAACCAGCUGGUGUGAUGAGAUACAGGAGUCAGGUACAGCCAUGGCAGGCCACGAGACCACCCUCUGGAGGGGUCCCUCCCUCAGCCUGGCAGGCUCAGGCUGCAGUGUGGGCCUGGAAGAGACCCUGCCUUUGCAUCCUCUGGGAGCCUAAGCUCCUCCCUGCAAAGCCUCUCUGACGCCAAAGAACAUUGAGGCCUCAGUUACAGCACACAGCUGGACUUUGUUUUCUGGCUCUGUCCCUCCUCCCACCCUUGUCCAGGAUGUCUCUUGAGCCCCCUGUGCCUGUCCCAGACCCUGGCCCCUUCCCCACUUCCUAUUCCUCAUAUGUGUUUCUCCAGCCAUUCUGGCCUAUCUCACCAGAGGACUCCCCCUGCCAGUUGGGCUUCCAGAACCAUCACAGAUCAACAGACCUGGCCCCCCACUGUGGUCCACCCUGAUAGCUCAAACUGGCCCAUCCACCUUCCUGCAUGGCCAGGGGGCCCACUGAAGUUUUGGGUGCUGUAGGUGGCCCAGCAAGAGGCCCCCUUGGUGAAUUGAUGGCUAGGGUUCUGAGACUGUCCCUGGCUUUGGUUAGGGAAGAGAAGAUCCUUGGGGCGGGGGAGGGGGGUUAGCAGGAGAAAGGCUGGGCCAGACCAGGACAGAAGAGCCUGGCUGUCUUCACAGGGGCUAAAGAAGCCCAACGUGGAGGAGAUCCGGCACGCCAAGAAUGCUGUGUUCAGCCCAUCCAUGUUUGGCAGUGCACUGCAGGAGGUCAUGAGCAUGCAGAAGGAACGUUACCCAGACCGGCAGCUGCCCUGGGUACAGACGAGGCUCUCCGAGGAGGUGCUGGCACUCAACGGUGACCAGACGGAGGGCAUCUUCAGGUGCCUUGUCAACCCUGGUCCCUGGAUGUGGGAGACACAGGCUUGUGUCCACAGUGCUUCUCUGGAGGCCCAUGAGGCCUGCAUCCAUGCCCCUGCCUCAGAGUAGAUGGAAGGGUGGGCCACCUUGCGGAAGCUGAUCCCAAGGGACGUGUGGCCAAGAGAGGAAGGUCAGGGCCCAUCCUUAGGAGGCAGGUCUGCUGGUUCAUCCUCAGUCUGGCAGCACAAUGACCCGCAGAGAUUUUUGCCUCUGCAGAAAUGGCCACCAGGGGUCCAGAGGGUGCUUGGCCUAAGCUGUGAGCCCCAGAGGGGAGAUCAGUUAGGCAUCAGAGCAUUGCAGCAGCUGGGCUUAUCAUCCCCACCUGUGAACAGGGAUGCAUAGCCCCUGUCCUGACUCACCUCUCAAGAGCAGGCUGCCCAAGCCCCAGAAGGAAAAGUCUCCCCAAUCUGGGACACAGGUGUGCAAGCUUGAGCCUUAACAGCCUGCAGAGGGUCUAGGAAGGGACAGUCUGGGAGACCCCACACCCCCGAGCCAAGCACAAGGGGCAGAACCCAAAAGAGAGCCAUGAGGCUUUGUCACAGCACCCUCCCCUUUGAGAAAAGGCCUUGAGGACUGUUCCAAACUGGCCCUCCAGUCUGAGACCUGCCCUGUGCUCUGCAGGGUGCCUGGAGACAUUGAUGAGGUAAACGCCCUGAAGCUCCAGGUGGAUCAGUGGAAGGUGCCCACAGGCCUGGAGGACCCCCAUGUCCCAGGUAAGUCCCUGGACCACUCAACACCAGAGCAUGCACUGCCUAGAGGGUCGAUGGCCAUUCACUCCUCCUGUCACCCCCAGCUUCUUUCCCUGCUGUAUCUCAUGACCUUCCUUCCGCAGCUCUGGGGCCGGCCCAUCACUAGUCGGAUAUAUCCCGCACUGGGGGCGGGGGGGGGGGGGGGGGGGGGGGAGGCUGGACUGUGCCGCUCCUCCAUCCACAGAUACUGAGUCAGAUUGGCAGGACCCUAGGUUUUAUUCAAAGCCAGCUUUGAAGGAAGAUCUAAGAAACUUUUGUUUCAAAUUUCCAUCUUGGGAAAAUUGAACGGCCAGGAUACCUUUUAUAAGGGGAUAGAUACAGGGAGAUUGAUUUAGCCUGUGAUGCAGCAGCGCCAGUGGCCGCAGACCUGGGCGGGGAACCUUUUCCAGAAAGCCCUUUCCCUACGCUCCCUGAUGCGGUCCGAGCGGGCUGCCAGGCCCAUGCGUUCCCAGAGCAGGCCCACCUGAACCGCCCUCGCCCACAGCGUCGCUGCUGAAGCUGUGGUACCGGGAACUGGAGGAGCCCCUGAUCCCGCACGAGUUCUACGAGCAGUGCAUCGCUCACUAUGAGAGUCCCGAGGCCGCCGUGGCCGUGGUGCACGCGCUGCCUCGCAUCAAUCGCAUGGUGCUGUGCUACCUCAUCCGCUUCCUUCAGGUACCCGCGCCUUGCCCCGCCCGCGUCCCCGCGUCCCCGCGCCCCCUGCCUGCUCCCCGGCCCUGUGCUCCACCCACCGCGCCCCGCGCCCCCGGCCUCUGGUCCGCCCGCCACGCCCUCCGCUCCUCCCCUCCGCAGGUGUUCGUGCAGCCUGCCAACGUGGCCAUCACCAAGAUGGACGUCAGCAACCUGGCCAUGGUGAUGGCGCCCAACUGCCUGCGCUGCCAGUCGGAUGACCCGCGCGUCAUCUUCGAGAACACACGCAAGGAGAUGUCCUUCCUGCGCGUACUCAUCCAGCACCUGGACACCAGCUUUAUGGAGGGCGUGCUAUAGCACGCGGGCACCACGGACGGCGGGCUGCGCGGCGCACGCGGGAGCGGGGGCCCCGCCGGGGCAGCAUGCCAGGCCCCGCCGGCCCCGAGAAGUGCCUUCUGUUCCCCGGAGCCGAGCGACACUGCCCUCCCGGCUGGCCGCGGCCCACGCCGCGCGGCCUCUCCGCUCCAGAGCCCCGGCUGCCCGCCGCCAGGCCGCGGUUCUCCUGCGCGGGGAGGGCCCCGAACCAAAGUCCUCGCGGCGGGCAGGGCCGGGCAGGCACUCUUGGGGCGGGGGGAGAGUAUUUUUUUCGUGGUGUACCUACGAGUCCAGAUUCCAUCCCGCACCCCGCCCUCUUGUGCAUAGAGAUAUAAAUAGAGCGACAGACGUCGGGACUAAAUUUGCUAAGGACAUAGUUCUAACCAGAUGCUAUUUAUCUCUGAGCCGUCCUCACCGCCCUCGUGCAGAGCACUCGCACCCUCCUUCCUUACCCGCAGCUCCCGACCCAACCCCGCGCCGCGCGGCGGCUGGGCCGGACUCGCCUGCGUUCCCGUUAUGGAAUCAGUUCCAACUGUUGUCAAACUUAAUUUCUCCCGGUUUUUAUAUAUAUAUUUUUUAGAGUUGAGUUUUUAUUUAUUAUUAAAACAAAACAGCCAGCCCUGCCGAGCCGGCCCCUGAGCGGGCCACAGACGUGCUCUGACACGUGGACCGAGGGACCGCUUUUCGUGUGAAUAAAGUUCGUGUGGACACUCGCGCGCCGCUUCGGG
rnacentral:lncRNA from 1 species